GGUUUCGAUCAUAGCUCAGAUUGAACGCUGGCAGGAUGCUUUACACAUGCAAGUCGAACGGCAGCACGGACUCGGUCUGGCGGCGAGUGGCGAACGGUGAAAUCAUGUAUCCCGGAACGUGCCUAGUAGCGGGGAUAACUACGCGAAAGCGUAGCUAAUACCACAUACGCCCUUCGGGGAAAGCGGGGGACCUUCGGGCCUCGCACUAUUAGAGCGGCCGAUAUCGGAUUAGCUAGUUGGUGGGGUAACGGCUCACCAAGGCAUGAUCCGUAGCUGGUUUGAGAGGAACGACAAACACGCUGGGACUGGAGACACGGCCAGACUCCUACGGGAGGCAGCAGUGAAAUUUUUGGACAAUGGGGAAACCUGAUCCAGCCAUCCCGCGUGUGCGAUGAAGGCCUUCGGGUUGUAAAGCACUUUUGGCAGGAAGAAACGGCACGGGAUAAUACCCCUGCAACUGACGGUACCUGCAGAAUAAGCACCGGCUAACUACGUGCCAGCAGCGCGGUAAUACGUGGGGUGCAAGCGUAAUCGGAAUUACUGGGCGUAAAGCGUGCGCAGGCGGUUCGGAAGAAAGAUGUGAAAUCAUUUAACUUUGGAACUGCAUUUUUUAACUACCGAGCUAGAGUGUGUCCAGAGGAGGUGGAAUUCCGUGUAGCAGUGAAAUGCGUAGAUAUGCGGAGGAACACCGAUGAUAGCAGAAGGCAGCCUCCUGGGAUAACACUGACGCUCAUGCACAAAAGCGUGGGGGCAAACAGGAUUAGAUACCCUGGUAGUCCACGCCAUAAACGAUCUCGCUUCAACUGUUGGGCCUUCGGGCCUUGGUAGCGCAGCUAGCAUGAAGUUGACCGCCUGAGAGUACGGUCGCAAGAUUAAAACUCAAAGGAAUUGACGGGGAUACACUACAGCGAUGGAUGAUGUGGAUUAAUUCGAUGCAGCGCGAAAAACCUUACCUGCCAUAAACAUCUGGAAUCGAAGAGAUUUGGAGUGCUCGCAAGAGAACCGGAACACAGGUGCUGCAUGGCUGUCGUCAGCUCGUGUCGUGAGAUGUUGGGUUAAGUCCUGUGAGCACAGCCCCCUUGUCAUUAGUUGCUACGAAGGGCACUCUAAUGAGACUGCCGGUGACAAACCAGGAGGAAAGUGCAGAGGAUGACGUCAAGUCCUCAUGGCCCUUAUGGGUAGGGCUACACACGUCAUGCGUGGUCGGGACAGAGGGUCACAGCCCGCGAGGGGGAGCCAAUCCCAGAAACCCGAUCGUAGUCCGGAUCUGAUCUGCAACUCGACUGCAUUGAGCCGGAAUCGCUAGUAAUCGCGGAUCAGCAUGUCGCGGUGAAUACGUUCCGGAGUCUUGUACACACCGCCAAUCACACCAUGGAGAUGGGUUUACCAGAAGUAGUUAGCCUAACCGUAAGGAGGGCGAUUACCACGGUAGGAUUCAUGACUGGGGUGAAGUCAACAAGGUAG
rnacentral:rRNA from 1 species